GACGAACGCUGGCGGCAUGCCUAACACAUGCAAGUCGAGCGAGCAGAUCCCUUCGGGGUGAAGCUAGCGGCGGACGGGUGAGUAACACGUGGGCAACCUGCCUCAUAGAGGGGAAUAGCCUUCCGAAAGGAAGAUUAAUACCGCAUAAGAUUGUAGCUUCGCAUGAAGUAGCAAUUAAAGGAGCAAUCCGCUAUGAGAUGGGCCCGCGGCGCAUUAGUUAGUUGGUGAGGUAACGGCUCACCAAGGCGACGAUGCGUAGCCGACCUGAGAGGGUGAUCGGCCACAUUGGGACUGAGACACGGCCCAGACUCCUACGGGAGGCAGCAGUGGGGAAUAUUGCACAAUGGGGGAAACCCUGAUGCAGCAAUGCCGCGUGAGUGAUGACGGCCUUCGGGUUGUAAAGCUCUGUCUUCGGGGACGAUAAUGACGGUACCCGAGGAGGAAGCCACGGCUAACUACGUGCCAGCCGCCGCGAUAA
rnacentral:rRNA from 1 species